CCUUUCUUCCUCUAGACAACAAAUUAUCGUUCAUUCAUGUCUAGAAAAAAAAAUCAAUUAUUUUCAACUCGAUGAUCUCAAACCCAGAUUCGGCACAACUCCGGCGAGUUUCCCCACCUCUUCCGUUCUCAAUUCAGCUGCGCUCCGACAAUCCCAAACCCUAUAUGUUCUCUCUGCUUCUGCGAAACCUUAGAUGUUGGAGGGGAAGAAGACCUGCUAGUCUUCAAUGGCAGAAGAGGAUAUAAGUUCACAAGGGAGCUUAUCUUGCUACCUCUGAGAUGGAAGACUGUAAACGUGAGGCUUAGCGGUGAGGACGGCGAGAUCGGCGACGCACAGUGGCGAAGGAUUGCUUAUGAAUCUGCGUCCUCAUUUGCGCUUUUGGAGAGUAGGAGAAACUCGAUUUCGAGUUUGUUUAAGAUGGAUAUGUGUCCUUCCCUGUAUCAGACUGAGUGGUGGGAAUGGAAUACAGCAAGGAUUGUGCAGUGUUUGAUUGAUGAAGCAUCUUGUUUUCAGUUACUUGGAGCCUCUUGCAGUUUCUCUGGUUAAAGAGAAAUGGUCACUUGUUCAACUACUCAUGUUGUCUUCAUAUUCUGGAUUCGGCACUUCCAGCUUGAAACAAGUUACUUGAGUUUGGUUAAAGUCACUAGAGAGUAGAAGAUUAGAAAAAGAUAAAGAGAAAUCUCCAGCACCUUGUGGAGGUCAUCUCCCUCCAUCUCCUGUAGUUGAUGCUAAGAAGUCCAUGUCUGCUGCUAAACU